AUACGGAGGGUGCAAGCGUUAUUCGGAAUUACUGGGCGUAAAGCGCGUGCAGGCGGGAAGGUCAGUCUGAUGUGAAAGCCCGGGGCUCAACCCCGGAAGUGCAUUGGAAACAGCCUUUCUUGAGUACCGGAGAGGAAGGGAGAAUUCCCGGUGUAGAGGUGAAAUUCGUAGAGAUCGGGAGGAACACCAGUGGCGAAGGCGCCCUUCUGGACGGUAAUUGACGCUGAGACGCGAGAGCGUGGGGAGC
rnacentral:rRNA from 1 species